GGAUUACAGAAAUCGGGCACAGUUUCAGACAUACGAAAAGGCAAAAUUUGCUGAAAUUCGCCUGAACAUAGAAGAUGCAAGUGACGAAAGAUCAAAAGUGAAUAUAGGAUUCUGAAUAUUACGACUGGAAUAGACAUAAAUUAAUUUUUCUUACUCUGGGUGUAACUUCUAACAUGCCUCACCGAUUUUACAUUUAUUAAUUCCAGAGCUACCAUUGAACAUUUCCUUUGAUGUUUCAUUACACAUUUAAAAAUUCCUCUUGCCUAAGGAUAUAAAAGUUCAAGCAAAUUGUUGAUUAAAAUAUUCCCGUCAAAGGGCAACACAUUUACAUUUCAUACAGCUGGUGUAUGAUAUUUUGGUAUAUGAAGAUUCAGCAUGUAACAGCAAUGGAAGAGUUCUGGAUCACUGGAGUUAAGCCUAGGGUUGCAUUAAAAAUGUUUACCGGUGUGUGGAGCAGAGAUCCCUGAACAAAGAGCACAGAGCUGCCUCUAGGAACCUGCACUUCCAUGCCAGAGUAAGCGGUUGCAGUUUAAACCGUGGUCUCCAGGAGAUGUAUCAUUAGCAUCUAAUGAACAGAUUGGACUGGAUCAUCUUUCUUACUUAAGUGAGAGAAUGGAUUGCAGCGCCACCCUUAAUCCUUUUGCUCCCAAGUGUAAGCCUACAGGCAGGCGGAUAGAACAGCAGGUGGCAAAGGAGUGUGUUUCUGUAGACAUUCAGCAAAGAAAACAAGUAGAGGUCUGACUAGACUACCAACAUGCCACUGGGGCCUUCAUUUGCAAGACAAAGUAAGUAAACACAACCUUGAAGGUCUCAAUGAAAUAUCCAAAGCUCUGAUUCAGCAAAGUACUUGGGAUGGAUAGGUUGGCUUGGAUAGGCUGGGACUUGCAGAAACAAACCUUAUUAGUGAGGCUGAGGUGGUAGGGAUCUCAAGUAAAUCUAAUAGAAUCUUCAUUUCUUUGAAAGCCCGCUAGCUAAUUGCUAAACAGUUAGUUUUUGCUUAUUGAAGCAGUGUUUUGUGAACUGGAGUCAGUCAAUGAAUAGUCCUGGCAGUGUGAAUCUCUGCAAAGCAUUGCUUAGACAGAAAGUAGAA
rnacentral:lncRNA from 13 species